GAUGAACGCUGGCGGCGUGCCUAAUACAUGCAAGUCGAGCGAACAGACGAGGAUCUUGCUCCUCUGACGUUAGCGGCGGACGGGUGAGUAACACGUGGAUAACCUACCUAUAAGACUGGGAUAACUUCGGGAAACCGGAGCUAAUACCGGAUAAUAUAUUGCACCGCAUGGUUCAAUAGUGAAAGACGGUUUUGCUGUCACUUAUAGAUGGAUCCGCGCCGCAUUAGCUAGUUGGUAAGGUAACGGCUUACCAAGGCGACGAUGCGUAGCCGACCUGAGAGGGUGAUCGGCCACACGGGAACUGAGACACGGUCCAGACUCCUACGGGAGGCAGCAGUAGGGAAUCUUACGCAAUGGGCGAAAGCCUGACGGAGCAACGCCGCGUGAGUGAUGAAGGUCUUCGGAUCGUAAAACUCUGUUAUUAGGGAAGAACAAAUGUGUAAGUAAAUAUGCACGUAUUGACGGUACCUAAUCAGAAAGCCACGGCUAACUACGUG
rnacentral:rRNA from 1 species